GAAACAUCUUCGGGUUGUGAGGUUAAGCGACUAAGCGUACACGGUGGAUGCCCUGGCAGUCAGAGGCGAUGAAGGACGUGCUAAUCUGCGAUAAGCGUCGGUGAGGUGAUAUGAACCGUUAUAACCGGCGAUUUCCGAAUGGGGAAACCCAGUGUGUUUCGACACACUAUCAUUAACUGAAUCCAUAGGUUAAUGAGGCGAACCGGGGGAACUGAAACAUCUAAGUACCCCGAGGAAAAGAAAUCAACCGAGAUUCCCCCAGUAGCGGCGAGCGAACGGGGAGGAGCCCAGAGCCUGAAUCAGUGUGUGUGUUAGUGGAAGCGUCUGGAAAGGCGCGCGAUACAGGGUGACAGCCCCGUACACAAAAAUGCACAUGCUGUGAGCUCGAUGAGUAGGGCGGGACACGUGGUAUCCUGUCUGAAUAUGGGGGGACCAUCCUCCAAGGCUAAAUACUCCUGACUGACCGAUAGUGAACCAGUACCGUGAGGGAAAGGCGAAAAGAACCCCGGCGAGGGGAGUGAAAAAGAACCUGAAACCGUGUACGUACAAGCAGUGGGAGCCUCUUAAUGGGGUGACUGCGUACCUUUUGUAUAAUGGGUCAGCGACUUAUAUUCUGUAGCAAGGUUAACCGAAUAGGGGAGCCGAAGGGAAACCGAGUCUUAACUGGGCGUUAAGUUGCAGGGUAUAGACCCGAAACCCGGUGAUCUAGCCAUGGGCAGGUUGAAGGUUGGGUAACACUAACUGGAGGACCGAACCGACUAAUGUUGAAAAAUUAGCGGAUGACUUGUGGCUGGGGGUGAAAGGCCAAUCAAACCGGGAGAUAGCUGGUUCUCCCCGAAAGCUAUUUAGGUAGCGCCUCGUGAAUUCAUCUCCGGGGGUAGAGCACUGUUUCGGCAAGGGGGUCAUCCCGACUUACCAACCCGAUGCAAACUGCGAAUACCGGAGAAUGUUAUCACGGGAGACACACGGCGGGUGCUAACGUCCGUCGUGAAGAGGGAAACAACCCAGACCGCCAGCUAAGGUCCCAAAGUCAUGGUUAAGUGGGAAACGAUGUGGGAAGGCCCAGACAGCCAGGAUGUUGGCUUAGAAGCAGCCAUCAUUUAAAGAAAGCGUAAUAGCUCACUGGUCGAGUCGGCCUGCGCGGAAGAUGUAACGGGGCUAAACCAUGCACCGAAGCUGCGGCAGCGACACUAUGUGUUGUUGGGUAGGGGAGCGUUCUGUAAGCCUGUGAAGGUGGCCUGUGAGGGUUGCUGGAGGUAUCAGAAGUGCGAAUGCUGACAUAAGUAACGAUAAAGCGGGUGAAAAGCCCGCUCGCCGGAAGACCAAGGGUUCCUGUCCAACGUUAAUCGGGGCAGGGUGAGUCGACCCCUAAGGCGAGGCCGAAAGGCGUAGUCGAUGGGAAACAGGUUAAUAUUCCUGUACUUGGUGUUACUGCGAAGGGGGGACGGAGAAGGCUAUGUUGGCCGGGCGACGGUUGUCCCGGUUUAAGCGUGUAGGCUGGUUUUCCAGGCAAAUCCGGAAAACCAAGGCUGAGGCGUGAUGACGAGGCACUACGGUGCUGAAGUGACAAAUGCCCUGCUUCCAGGAAAAGCCUCUAAGCAUCAGGUAACAUCAAAUCGUACCCCAAACCGACACAGGUGGUCAGGUAGAGAAUACCAAGGCGCUUGAGAGAACUCGGGUGAAGGAACUAGGCAAAAUGGUGCCGUAACUUCGGGAGAAGGCACGCUGAUAUGUAGGUGAAGCGACUUGCUCGUGGAGCUGAAAUCAGUCGAAGAUACCAGCUGGCUGCAACUGUUUAUUAAAAACACAGCACUGUGCAAACACGAAAGUGGACGUAUACGGUGUGACGCCUGCCCGGUGCCGGAAGGUUAAUUGAUGGGGUUAGCGGUAACGCGAAGCUCUUGAUCGAAGCCCCGGUAAACGGCGGCCGUAACUAUAACGGUCCUAAGGUAGCGAAAUUCCUUGUCGGGUAAGUUCCGACCUGCACGAAUGGCGUAAUGAUGGCCAGGCUGUCUCCACCCGAGACUCAGUGAAAUUGAACUCGCUGUGAAGAUGCAGUGUACCCGCGGCAAGACGGAAAGACCCCGUGAACCUUUACUAUAGCUUGACACUGAACAUUGAGCCUUGAUGUGUAGGAUAGGUGGGAGGCUUUGAAGUGUGGACGCCAGUCUGCAUGGAGCCGACCUUGAAAUACCACCCUUUAAUGUUUGAUGUUCUAACGUUGGCCCCUAAUCGGGGUUGCGGACAGUGUCUGGUGGGUAGUUUGACUGGGGCGGUCUCCUCCUAAAGAGUAACGGAGGAGCACGAAGGUUGGCUAAUCCUGGUCGGACAUCAGGAGGUUAGUGCAAUGGCAUAAGCCAGCUUGACUGCGAGCGUGACGGCGCGAGCAGGUGCGAAAGCAGGUCAUAGUGAUCCGGUGGUUCUGAAUGGAAGGGCCAUCGCUCAACGGAUAAAAGGUACUCCGGGGAUAACAGGCUGAUACCGCCCAAGAGUUCAUAUCGACGGCGGUGUUUGGCACCUCGAUGUCGGCUCAUCACAUCCUGGGGCUGAAGUAGGUCCCAAGGGUAUGGCUGUUCGCCAUUUAAAGUGGUACGCGAGCUGGGUUUAGAACGUCGUGAGACAGUUCGGUCCCUAUCUGCCGUGGGCGCUGGAGAACUGAGGGGGGCUGCUCCUAGUACGAGAGGACCGGAGUGGACGUAUCACUGGUGUUCGGGUUGUCAUGCCAAUGGCACUGCCCGGUAGCUAAAUGCGGAAGAGAUAAGUGCUGAAAGCAUCUAAGCACGAAACUUGCCCCGAGAUGAGUUCUCCCUGAGACUUAGAGUCUCCUGAAGGAACGUUGAAGACGACGACGUUGAUAGGCCGGGUGUGUAAGCGCAGCGAUGCGUUGAGCUAACCGGUACUAAUGAACCGUGAGGCUUAACCUU
rnacentral:rRNA from 1 species